AUGGAGAACAACAGAUGGAUCCGACACCUCAAAGCAAACCUAUCUGCACACGCAACAAGGGAAUUCCUGACGCUGUGGGAAGGAGUCCAAAAUUUACACCUAACAGAAGAGCCUGAUCGGGUUCGCUGGAAGUGGACAGCAAAUGGCAUGUACACGGCAAGAACGGCUUACACAAUUCAAUUUGAGGGCUGCACUCGAGCUGCUUGGGCUGCGCUCAUAUGGAAAUCCGAUGCACCGGGCAAAUGCAAGCUAUUUGCAUGGUUGGCACUGCUUGGCCGCUGCAACACGGUCGACGUUCUUGCAAAGAAAGGCUGGCCUCACAACCUGACUUGCUCCUUAUGCAAUGGACCAAUGGAGGACGUCGUGCACCUGCUAGCCUCCUGCCCCGUUGUAGGAUCGAAAGUAUGUCUAGAGGGGGAUGAUUAG
rnacentral:rRNA from 1 species